UAGUGAGUUUGAUCCUGGCUCAGGAUGAACGCUGGCGGUCUGCUUAACACAUGCAAUUCGCACGGGCAGCUUCGGCUGUUAGUGGCGGACGGGUGAGUAACGCGUAGGAACGUGUCCUGGGAUGGGGGAUAACGCUGGGAAACUGGCGCUAAUACCGCAUGUCUGCUGAGGCAGAAAGCCUGUGAGGGUGUCUUGGGAGCGGCCUGCGUCCGAUUAGCUUGUUGGUGGGGUAAUGGCUUACCAAGGCGACGAUCGAUAGCUGGUCUGAGAGGACGAUCAGCCACACUGGGACUGAGACACGGCCCAGACUCCUACGGGGAGC
rnacentral:rRNA from 1 species